GUGGUAGUCUCCUGUCAUCUGGCACACAUCCAGGGGCCCACACCCCCAGGAGGAGUCUGGCACAGUCCUGCAAGUUAAGAGGAGGCUGCUGCUGGCAAAUUUUGCUUUCAAGACUUUGAGGUGCAGUUUCUGAAAAACCUCUGCACCUAGGUCCUUGAAACUUGGCAGGCUUCAUGCCCUCAGAGGGGGCUACCAUCCCUGCCCAUCUGAAUUGGGCAACAAAUGACAAUGUUUUAGGCAUUUUCAUGAUUCCCCAUUAUAGCCUAUGGGUGAAACGUCGAAAUGGGUCAAAACAGUGAAACAGUUUUGAUUAAACGAAACGGUAGUGCUUUGAAAUGAAACAAAAUGAUGAAAUGAAACACUCUCCCUUUGUAAUGGCAAAAUAGACAUCAAAACGAAAUGAUGGUGCUUUGCAGAGCCCUACCAGAAACCCAGGCCACUGCAUGUUGCUGCCAGGAGUGGGGGGGUGGAGCAGCCAUGGUGCAGGGAGACAGAGGCUGCAGCAAAAGAGCCACUGCAUGCUGCCCCCAGGCUCUGUAUGCUUUUCCCAGUCAGAAAAGAAGCUGGCCAGGGAGCAGCAGGUGGGGUUGCCUUUUAAAGAUGGCUGCUGGCUGUAGGCAGCUGUGGCCAGUGCCUCCACCUCCCCCUAGUGGUGGCAGGACACCAUUGCAGGGUCACAGGGAGUGAAGCAGUUUGCUGCUAGGAGCAGCAAAUCUGCUCCCACAUCCCUGCAUGUAUAGUCGUGCACCCAGGAGUGUUUACUCUUGAGCAGUUUACUUGAGAGUAAACAGCUCCUAGAGCAAAUGUACAUGUAGAUACACCUAUAGAUGAACAAAUUAUAUUUACCUUGUGAAACUAUAAUAAUUCAUCAGUUUCUGUCUCUUUUUUGGGUACUGACACAUGAACCAGGUUCACAGACUUGAAAGAGAGGAGGAUUUACUAUGCAUCAGCUGAUCUAUGGUAACUGUUCUGUGUGUCCGCUCUACCCUGCAGUAAGUGAAAGCUAAACUGGGGCAGUUUACACCUUAAGAAAAUAACUUUUAAAUUACAAGGAUUUAGCCUCUGCUUACUAUGGAAUAGGAGAGAUGCACAGAAUAGUUACUGUAGAGCAGCUGACAUGCUGUUAGUUCCUGACCCUUUUCAGUUGUUAUCUAUCAACACUGAAAAAGAGAAAGACUGCUAAAUUAGUUAUUCUCACACCUUACACAUGUACACAAACAGGCACAACUGUAAGCUGAUCAAAACUGUAGACAAAAUUCCUCUGCUGGAAAAUGCUGUUUCAUCAAAACUGGAGGGUUUUGCAGAAAUAUGCUGGAUUCAACAUUUCUGUUGGGAAGGUGUGUCAGGUCCAGGAUGGGAGAGAGAAAGAGCACAUGGCCACUUUCACACAAUAGCCAUUAGCUUAGUAUUUAGAGCCUCAACAUAUCCCAUAGUUAUCAGGCUAUCGCAUCUCCCACCCAGCGCCUUGUGUUGAAGAUGUUCUAUUUUGUAUACAUGGAUCCCUUUUGUUGACUCAUUGAGCCAACAAAAGAGAAACUAAUGUUCUAGCCCAGUAUUGAGGACAGGAGGGCCAGAUUCAAGUCCUGAUUCCAAAUUAAGCAGAGUAAGUAGGUAAACCCGGUCUUCCUCAUGUCAUGCUAGUGCCCUAGCUGCUAAUUUCUUGGAUUUUCAGGAACUGUAGGUCUCUUUCAUUAAUACUUCUGUGAGGAUUCAGUUUCAUUCCACAUAGAAACAAAUUCAAAUUUGAAACUAAUUGGAAAAACAAAAUGUCAAGCCUUCUGAUAUUUUUCGUGAAAUAGAAUAGUUUUCUGCACAGCCCUUUUACUCACACAGACAGACAGUCACACACAUGCCAAUUACAUUUUUGUUCCUUGAAUCAUAUUAUAGAUAUGGGUGUACUUUAGUAUCCCUUUUUUAUAAAUGACCUUCCUGUUUUACCUCUGGAUAGGGUAACUACCAGGAAAACUGGGAUAUUUGGGACACUGCCACUGCCUCCCCACUUCUCCAAGUCAGUGGCACUGUUGCAGGCAGUGGCAGAGACCAGUGGGGAGGGGUGUGGACACAAUCCUGUGGGGAGGCAAAGCUGCCUGGCACACAGUGCUGCUCUGCCUUCCCACUGGAAUGUAACAGAAUUCCUGGAUGCUCAUUUUUAAUUUUUGCUAUCUGGCCAGGACCAACCUUUAAAAUCUGGGAUGGGUCCAGGCAAACUGGGAUGUACAGUUACCCUACCUAUGUGCAUGCAGGAAGGCAGUAAUAGAGUCUGCCAAGCCUAGGUCUGGUCUGGUUUCAACCAGGUUCAACAUAGUGUUACUCCUUAUGCCACUCCUUUUUUUGGAAAGUUAUGCUGUUAACUGUACAUAUCUUUUCACAUUAAAAAUAGACUAUCUAUGGGAUCUGUAACUUCAUUGUGCCUUUCUGACAUAAAAACUGGUUUCUAUUCUCUUGGUAUCAAAAGUUUCUCUAGUUCUGAUACAUAGAGGGAUACAACAUAAUUUGAUUUGGAUUAUAGAGCACUGAAGGUCUUCUUCAGCCAAGUCCCAGACAAAUUUUAGCUGUCUGAGUUGCUGAGUUUCAGAAGAGUCUGUAUAGAACAUGGCGCUAGCACCACACUGCCUGAUAUAGACUGCUAUUUUAUUUUUGGAAAGUAGCCUACAGCUAUUAUGACUGACUUUCUGACAGUUAUCAUGUAUUGCUAUUUCAGUAGAGAAUGUUAACUAUAAAAAUCAGGUAACCUGAGGGUUUGGAAUCAUGCUUACAUUUUUAAUAAGUUGUCAAAAGACCACUUUAGAGUAUUCAUUUUAAAUUGGACUGAACAGUCCCACUGUCACUUAAUAUGCACUUGCCUCCCACACUUCCCAAGUUGGGGCAUAAUGCAGACAUCUUCUGUAAAAAGAGUAAUUUAUGUUUUCUACCUUUGCAGUUUGAUUGUCCAGUAACUUCUAUUUCUAAAUGAGUGGUUCUGACUGCUUAUUAAUUUAUUCCCAAUGGACUUCUUGAAUUCAGGUUUCUUUCACAAGGUUCUGGGAGGGGUUAUCAAGCUGGUACCCAAACUAUAUGUUUUGGUACGUUUGGGGUGUUUUUGUAGCCAUGAUGAUCCAGGAGGGAAGAUGCCUGUGCAUGCCUUCUUUUAAUGUGAAGCAUUAUGCAUAUGAUACUCCAUGGGAAGGAAACCUUAAUCUAAUCGCUAAGAGAUUUUUACUUUGCUGUAGGUUUCAUCUGCUUUUCCAGCCAUUGUAAAGUAUUUUGCCUCAUUUGCCUGCUCCACUGUUCAGGACUUUUAUUUUCAUUUUUGGAUUAUUAAUUUGGAAACCUUGCUUUUAACCCUACCAGGAGUUCUCUUGACCUCUUGACCCUACCAGGAGUACCAAACUCCAGAUGGCAUUGCUUUCUAGGUCGUUGCUAGCACACAGACCUGUUAGCAUCCUUGAACCACAGGUCAAGGUUCAGAUCCAUAGGAGGAAAAAAGGGCAAGAGCUGUGACCCAGCACUGCCAGUUGAACAUGCAAAUCAUGGAUUGGCUUCUUCCGUUAUCAACAAACUUUCCAAUUACUUCCCUAUAUACUGGAAGACUGUCAUCCUCAUAUUGAGGGACAACCAGCAACAGUCCAAGAAAUGUAUGACAGGCAACAUUGUUAUGCAAAAUGCCAUUCUUCUGGUCACCUCCUUCAGGGCAAUUUGGGUGUGUCCAGACAAGCAUGGACUUUGGUUCCCGGGGGGCAAGUAACAGCAGUGCACCUUGCGCUGGCGCUACCUAUCCCUGGGAAAUGCCUGUGCCACGCAUGCUUUGGUGCAUGGUAAGUUACCCCAGGUGGAGUAGGAGAGACUGGGGACAGCACUGGGCUGAUACCAGAAGCCUUACCUGGGGUCCUGGGGGCGUCCUGGGGCUGCAGCAGUGGAUUCUGUCACAUGGAGCCUGGCCAGCAGCUGCAGCGUGGUUCUGGGCAGCACAGCUCUGUUUUUGAGGGGUGUGCGCUGGCUGUGCGUGUGCUGCUCUGCUUUUUUCUUCCAUGGGUUUUUUUGAUCCCUGGAUAUCCAGCACUCCCUUGCAGCCUGGAGAACAUCAAAAUAUACAGUAUGUGGUGCUGCAGACAUGUUUGUGGUUCCACAUGCUGUAUGGCUGCACUUGUCUGGAUGCAGCCUUUGUGUCCAAAGCUUGCCCAACAUCUCUCUCCUAACUAUAGAACUGGCCCAAUAGAAGAUCACAAAAAACCCUUCUCUCUUGUACCUAAAUUAUAGAUAAUACAACAUUUUCUGGCUCUUAUUGCUCCUCAUGUUUGUUACUUCUGCCCUUCAACUGGUAUUUCCAUUGAGUAAUACAGUAAAAGCAUAUAGCCCCUUCUUUGUCCUGCAGAUGCAAUAGAAGUCCCUCCUUAGAGAUCACAGCACAAGGAUGGCCUCUGAGGUAAACAACAAAGGUUUUCUGUGAUAUAGUCUGAGUGCCAGGCAUGUUUUAAUGGAGAGCUGUGGUCCAAAGAAAUUAGUUUCCACAUGCAGCAGGUUCUAGGAGUUGAAAUUUUGUUGGCCUCCAUCUCUAUAUCCAGAGGGAAAGUGAUUACAGUCUUCUACAAGAAUACUUUCUAUCUGUAUAUAAAUAACUCAUUAAUAGGAAAUGUGCCAGUAGGCAACUCUCAAGCCUGUAGAGUUAUUAUUUAUGGGCUUUAUUGGACCAAUAGAUUAUUUUUUGUGCGCUACAAAUGGUUUUCUUUUCACAGCUGUUUAUAUUAGCUCUUAAAAUGCCAACUGGGUUUAGCUCUUAAACUUGUGUCAGGCUGCUAGUAUAGGCCGUGUUGAGCAAAGUCCUGGUUCCCCUGGGAUAAACUGACUUUUCCUUGCACACCUCUGUCAUCUAGUACUUUCUAAGUUACAGUACAGUGAACUUUAUGAUGAUAACAUACUUUUUUGUCUCCUGUUUUCAGAGAAGGGGAAAAAAGCAGCCAGCAACAGCUCGACAUAUAAAGAAGGAUACAAUGAUGUGCUAUAAUUCCAUAAAAAUAUUUAUAGGAGCUGAGCCAUUUUCCAAACUGUGCUAAAACAUGCCUUGUAAAAACAAGGGGAAAGGAGGAGGAUUUAGGUAGCCAAUUGCUUUAGCAACAACAAGACAAGACAGAAGGUUAUGGACCUUCAGGGAUUUCUGGCCACAGCCAUUUCUGCAUCACAGCAGUCACCUGACUGCUUCCUUAUACUCUGAUUUUCAACAAAGGAUGCAGAGACAGAGAAGCUUUUAAAAUGCUCAGUAAAAAUAGUAACAAGUUUUCUUAAGGAUACAGGCAUGAGAUGAGGGGACUGGAAACUACACAUAGAUACAAAUAUUACCUUAUCUUGCACAAACCCAACCACAUUGCACCAGUUUGACAUAUUUGUCAAGCUUUGGUGUCAUUUGAAGACUUAUGGUACUUGCAAAAAUGACUUCUCAGCACCAGCCUAUUAAUAUAUCUAAUUUUGCAAUCUCAGUCCAGGAAUUUCAACUUUCAAAGUUGUCACACAGAUACUACCAAAACAUGGUAAGGCUUCUGGGUGAGCUCAAAAGUAGGGUGGAAAGAAAAGGACUAUCAGGCCCCUUUAGAUGGUAAGGUAAAGGUGUGAUAAGAUGUGAAUCAUGAUCCACACAACCGUGCCUCCUGCCGUGCUGUACAUUCCUGGCAAUAGGUGUGAUUGCUGGAUUCAGCCUUAAAUCCUAUCACACCAGGGUGGGGCCUGGGAUUACCAUCCUUGUCUCCUCCAACACCAGCAAGUAAAGAGCUCCCACAACUCCAAGCCUCAUAGCUGACAGGACUCACAGCCAUGGAAGCACCCUAUGGCUGCCAGGAUCAAGAGUCCCACAGCUGUGGACUCUCCAUUUUGGCAGUCCCCCAUGGUCACUGGGACUGAGGGUCCCACACCUGCAGGUCUCCCUAUCCCAGAAGUGCCACACAGGAGUCACCAUUGCCAGGACAGAAAGUCCCACAGCUGUGGGACUUGGUCCCAGUGGCAGUGGGAUGCUGCCGGUAAGGAGAGUCCCCUCAGCUGCAGGACUCCAAGCCCUGGCUGCACAAUGUGCACCCCUAUGGCUGGGAGCUCUGUCAGUUGAUGGGGUUCCCAGCCACAGGGGGAAAUCCUUCUACACUUGCAAAUUAAAGCUGGAUUGCAACCAGUUAUAAAGUUAGUACAUAUUUUCAAGGUCUAACUUUGUAGCUGGUUGGACCUUUUAAUGGCAUGGUCUCAGUUAAUUGAACAAUUAACCCGUUAAUUGCAUAAUACCUGUAAUGUGUUGAGGGGGCCUCUGUGCCUGCACCUCUUUAAAGGUCCUUGCUCUGGAAAACAUCCCACAGUAGAAUGUGGAAUCCUUUCUUCUCAUCUCUACUCUAGUCAAGUAAGUAGUAGCUAUAUAUAUAUAUAUAUAUAUAUAUAUAUAUAUAUAUUUUAACAUCCCCAUGCUCCAAUAUUUUAUAGUACUUCAAAAGCCAUAUUAGUAUUGCCAUGGUGUGAUAAAGUCAUAUGCAGUCUAUAAGAUAUAGCAAGCAACAGCAAUAUAAUGUGACAUCAAUAUAAUAUGAUAUGUUUGGAUAGUAGAAUAUAAAGCAGAAUCAUUCCAAUAUAUUAUUAUUAACCCUUAUCUUUUGUAUAUAGAAGUUUUAUUUAAUAUUGUUAUCUUUUGGUAUACCUGAACACUUUUCAUGGUCUUCAAGUUCCAGAGGGUUAGACUUUUUAUAUUGGUUCUCAUUUUCUAAGAUGUGCUUUUACAAUUUAUGUCUUCAGCCACAUACGAUGGACUUGUAUUUCAAAGCUGUACUUAAAAGAGAUGCAGGACCAAUUUAACUAAGCAGGCUACAAUUAUAUUCUCAAUGCAGCUUGUUUAGAUGCAAAGCAAAGAAUGAGGCAGAUUCAUUUUUAAGGGAAUUUACUUAUGGUCUUAGUUGAUCUGUACCCUAUAUAUCAUAGAAAAUUAGGGUUGGAAGUGACCUCAGGAGGUCAUCUAAUCCAACCCCCUGCUCAAAGCAGGACCAUCCCCAACUAGAUCAUCCCAGCCAAGACUUUGUCUAGCCAGGUCUUAAAAACCACCAAGGAUGAGGAUUUCACAACCUCUGGGUAACCUGUUUCAGUGCUUUACUACCCUCCUAGUAAGACAGUUCUUCCUGAUAUCUAAUCUGAACGUCACUUGCUACAAUUUAAGAGCAUUGCUCCUUGUUCUGCCAUUUGCCACCACUUUGGAACCAUCCUUCAGGUAAUGCAGCCAUUCUUCACAACAAGGGCACACUGUUGGCUCAUAUUCAGCUUAUUGUCAACUGUAAUCCUCAGGUCCCUUGCUGCAGAGCUGCUACUUAGCCAUUGGUCCCUAGCCUUUACUGGUGCCUGGGAUUGUUCCAUCCUAAGUAUAGGACUUUGGACUUGUCCUUGUUGAACCUCAUGAGAUUUCUUUUGGUUCAAUCCUCCAAUUUGUCUAGGUAUCUCUGAGUCCUAGCCCUACCAAUGUAUCUACAGUUCCCCCCAGCUUGGUGUCAUCUGCAAACUUGCUGAGGAUUCACUCCAUCUCAUUUUCCAGAUUGUUGAUGAAGAUACUAAACAAAAGUGGCCCCAAGAUUGAGCCCUGGGACACUCCACUUGAUACUGGCUGCCAACUAGACAUUGAGCCAUUGAUUACUACCCUUUGAGCCAGAUGAUCCAGCCAGUUUUCCAUCCACCUUACAGCCCAUUCACUCAACCUGUGCUUCCUUUGUUGGCUUACAAGAAUGUUGUGGGAGACCAUAAAAAAGCCUUGCUAAAGUCCAGGUAUAUCACAUCCAUUGCUUUCCCUGCAUCCACAGAGCCAGUCAUUUCAUCAUAGAAGGUGUUUAGAAAUGGAUUCCUUACUGACCCACUCCAUGAUUUUUCCAGGAACUAAGGAUCCUGAACUCAAUCAUCUCGUGGUGGUUGCUGCCCCAGUUGCCAUCUAUUACUGCAUUCUUCACCAAUUCUUCUCUGUUUGUGAGCAGCAGGCAAGAAGAGCACAGCCCCUAGCUGGCUUCUCCAACACUUGAACCAGGAAGUGAUCCCCAGAAUUCUUCAAAAACCAUAUCAGGAAAUGUUGAGUGUUGUUGCUUGUUGUUAUACUUAAUCUCUAGUGAACUAAGUGUAAUGACAUUUAUUAAAUUAAUUUAUAUCGAGAAAGUAAAACUUUAUGGUGUAUCUCUCUCUCUCUGUCUCAUUAAUGCAUAUCAAAAGUAGAAACAAUGGCAUGAUGUAGCAUUGUUUGCACACUGGUGUGUCUGAGUAGAGAUUGAACUGGACUUCAUACAAACAAGUAGGGGAGAAAGAAGGUUGUG